CCCUUAGAUGUUCUGGGCUGCACGCGCGCUACACUGAAGCUAUCAACACGUUUUCCCUCCCUGAGAAGGGCGGGUAACCUUUGAAUCAGCUUCGUGGUAGGGAUCGGGGCUUGCAAUUGUUCCCCGUGAACCAGGAAUUCCUAGUAGACGCGAGUCAUAAGCUCGCAUCGAUUAAGUCCCUGCCCUUUGUACACACCGCCCGUCGCUACUACCGAUUGAACGUUUUAGUGAGGCAUUUGGACCGACGCAUCUCAGUUUAACCGCUGGUUUGUGUUGGAAAGACUUCCAAACUUGAGCGUUUAGAGGAAGUAAAAGUCGUAACA
rnacentral:rRNA from 1 species